GUGAAAUUGAACUCGCUGUGAAGAUGCAGUGUACCCGCGGCAAGACGGAAAGACCCCGUGAACCUUUACUAUAGCUUGACACUGAACAUUGAGCCUUGAUGUGUAGGAUAGGUGGGAGGCUUUGAAGUGUGGACGCCAGUCUGCAUGGAGCCGACCUUGAAAUACCACCCUUUAAUGUUUGAUGUUCUAACGUGGACCCGUGAUCCGGGUUGCGGACAGUGUCUGGUGGGUAGUUUGACUGGGGCGGUCUCCUCCUAAAGAGUAACGGAGGAGCACGAAGGUUGGCUAAUCCUGGUCGGACAUCAGGAGGUUAGUGCAAUGGCAUAAGCCAGCUUGACUGCGAGCGUGACGGCGCGAGCAGGUGCGAAAGCAGGUCAUAGUGAUCCGGUGGUUCUGAAUGGAAGGGCCAUCGCUCAACGGAUAAAAGGUACUCCGGGGAUAACAGGCUGAUACCGCCCAAGAGUUCAUAUCGACGGCGGUGUUUGGCACCUCGAUGUCGGCUCAUCACAUCCUGGGGCUGAAGUAGGUCCCAAGGGUAUGGCUGUUCGCCAUUUAAAGUGGUACGCGAGCUGGGUUUAGAACGUCGUGAGACAGUUCGGUCCCUAUCUGCCGUGGGCGCUGGAGAACUGAGGGGGGCUGCUCCUAGUACGAGAGGACCGGAGUGGACGCAUCACUGGUGUUCGGGUUGUCAUGCCAAUGGCACUGCCCGGUAGCUAAAUGCGGAAGAGAUAAGUGCUGAAAGCAUCUAAGCACGAAACUUGCCCCGAGAUGAGUUCUCCCUGAGACUUAGAGUCUCCUGAAGGAACGUUGAAGACGACGACGUUGAUAGGCCGGGUGUGUAAGCGCAGCGAUGCGUUGAGCUAACCGGUACUAAUGAACCGUGAGGCUUAACCUUACAACGCCGAAG
rnacentral:rRNA from 3 species